rnacentral:rRNA from 1 species
CUGCUCAGUAACACGUGGACAACCUACCCUAUGGAGGGGGAUAACCCCGGGAAACUGGGGAUAAUACCCCAUAGACUAUAGAUGCUGGAAUGCUUUGUAGUUGAAAGGUCAGCCGCCAUAGGAUGGGUCUGCGGCCGAUUAGGUUGUUGUUGGGGUAACGGCCCAACAAGCCUGUAAUCGGUACGGGUUGUGGGAGCAAGAGCCCGGAGAUGGAUUCUGAGACACGAAUCCAGGCCCUACGGGGCGCAGCAGGCGCGAAAACUUUACAAUGCGGGAAACCGUGAUAAGGGAACUCCGAGUGCCCGUAAAAUCGGGCUGUCCAUCUGUUUAAAUAACAGGUGAAGAAAGGGCCGGGCAAGACCGGUGCCAGCCGCCGCGGUAAUACCGGCGGCUCGAGUGGUGGCCACUAUUACUGGGCUUAAAGCGUUCGUAGCUGGUCUGUUAAGUCUCUGGGGAAAUCUACUGGCUUAACCAAUAGGCGUCUCAGGGAUACUGGCAGACUAGGGACCGGGAGAGGUGAGAGGUACUCCAGGGGUAGGAGUGAAAUCCUGUAAUCCUUGGGGGACCACCUGUGGCGAAGGCGUCUCACCAGAACGGCUCCGACAGUGAGGGACGAAAGCUGGGGGAGCAAACCGGAUUAGAUACCCGGGUAGUCCCAGCCG